CAUAAAUAAAAAAGAAAAUUUCUUCAAACAUUUUUUGAGAGGAUUAAUAUUCAACAGCAUAGUGAAUUGCUCUAAGAGAAACAAAAAUUUAAGUUCAUUAGAACACAUUCAUUCUGUGUCAGAAACCUAUGCUGUGUCAACUAUUUAAUCACAAUCCAAAUUUAGAGCUGAAUCCAGCUUGAAUGUUGUGUCCAUACUUGCCCUAACCGUUCAGGGUUCAACCUCUGCGGUCGUAUAAAGCUACGCCCUGCGGAGCAUCUGGUUGUUA
rnacentral:lncRNA from 1 species